GGCCGCGUAGCGUAAUGGUUAACGCGCUAGUUUCCGGUUUCCUGAUGAAGAAAGAGAUCAAGCUAGAGAUUGUGAGUUCGAGUCUCACCGUGGUCG